rnacentral:rRNA from 1 species
AAUAGAUACCCGGGUAGUCCACGCCGUAAACGAUGAGUGCUAAGUGUUAGGGGGUUUCCGCCCUUAGUGCUGCAGCUAACGCAUUAAGCACUCCGCCUGGGGAGUACGGUCGCAAGACUGAAACUCAAAGGAAUUGACGGGGGCCCGCACAAGCGGUGGAGCAUGUGGUUUAAUUCGAAGCAACGCGAAGAACCUUACCAGGUCUUGACAUCCCAUUGACCACUAUGGAGACAUAGUUUUCCCUUCGGGGACAACGGUGACAGGUGGUGCAUGGUUGUCGUCAGCUCGUGUCGUGAGAUGUUGGGUUAAGUCCCGCAACGAGCGCAACCCUUGUUCUUAGUUGCCAUCAUUUAGUUGGGCACUCUAAGGAGACUGCCGGUGACAAACCGGAGGAAGGUGGGGAUGACGUCAAAUCAUCAUGCCCCUUAUGACCUGGGCUACACACGUGCUACAAUGGACGGUACAAACGGUUGCCAACCCGCGAGGGGAGCUAAUCCGAUAAAACCCGUUCUCAGUUCGGAUUGUAGGCUGCAACCGUCGUCCUACUGUAAGCCGGUAACG